rnacentral:rRNA from 1 species
UACAGAGGUCUCAAGCGUUGUUCGGAUUCAUUGGGCGUAAAGGGUGCGCAGGCGGCGAGGCAAGUCGGACGUGAAAUCCCGGGGCUUAACCCCGGAACUGCGUUCGAUACUGCUUUGCUUGAGGACUGGAGAGGAGACUGGAAUUCCUGGUGUAGCAGUGAAAUGCGUAGAUAUCAGGAGGAACACCGGUGGCGAAGGCGGAUCUCUGGGCCUUACCUGACGCUGGAGGCGCGAAAGCUAGGGGAGCGAACAGG